rnacentral:rRNA from 1 species
UACGUAGGGUGCGAGCGUUAAUCGGAAUUACUGGGCGUAAAGCGUGCGCAGGCGGUUAUUUAAGUCAGGUGUGAAAGCCCUGGGCUUAACCUAGGAAUUGCGCUUGAGACUGGAUAGCUUGGAGUGCGGCAGAGGGAGGUGGAAUUCCACGUGUAGCAGUGAAAUGCGUAGAGAUGUGGAGGAACACCGAUGGCGAAGGCAGCCCCCUGGGCUGAGAUUGACGCUCAGGCACGAAAGCGUGGGGAGCAAACAGG